AGUGGCGAACGGGUGAGUAAUACAUCGGAACAUGUCCUGUAGUGGGGGAUAGCCCGGCGAAAGCCGGAUUAAUACCGCAUACGAUCUAUGGAUGAAAGCGGGGGACCUUCGGGCCUCGCGCUAUAGGGUUGGCCGAUGGCUGAUUAGCUAGUUGGUGGGGUAAAGGCCUACCAAGGCGACGAUCAGUAGCUGGUCUGAGAGGACGACCAGCCACACUGGGACUGAGACACGGCCCAGACUCCUACGGGAGGCAGCAGUGGGGAAUUUUGGACAAUGGGCGAAAGCCUGAUCCAGCAAUGCCGCGUGUGUGAAGAAGGCCUUCGGGUUGUAAAGCACUUUUGUCCGGAAAGAAAUCCUUGGCUCUAAUACAGUCGGGGGAUGACGGUACCGGAAGAAUAAGCACCGGCUAACUACG
rnacentral:rRNA from 1 species